GAUGAACGCUAGCUACAGGCUUAACACUUGCAAGUCGAGGGGUAACGAGAGGGAAGCUUGCUUUCCUUGUCGACGACCGGCGCACGGGUGAGUAACGCGUAUCCAACCUGCCCCCAACUAAGGAAUAACCUUGCGAAAGUAAGACUAAUACCUUAUAAUUUCCUCAGAUGACAUCUGACGAGGAAUAAAGAUUUAUCGGUUGUGGAUGGGGAUGCGUCUGAUUAGCUUGUUGGCGGGGUAACGGCCCACCAAGGCAACGAUCAGUAGGGGUUCUGGGAGGAAGGUCCCCCCCAUUGGAACUGAGACACGGUCCAAACUCCUACUGGAGGCAGCAGUGAGGAAUAUUGGUCAAUGGGCGGAAGCCUGAACCAGCCAAGUAGCGUGCAGGAUGACGGCCCUAUGGGUUGUAAACUGCUUUUAUACAGGAAUAAAGUUGGCCACGUGUGGUUAUCUGUAGGUACUGUAUGAAUAAGGACCGGCUAAUUCCGUGCCAGCCGCCGCGGUAA
rnacentral:rRNA from 1 species